CCGAAGCGAAGCGAGCGUCCCCGGCACCGUCCGGAAACACAGCAAGUAAAAAACCGGGAAGAGCGCGCGCGAAAGUCGGCAUCCGAAAAUUUUCGACCGGUAUACGGUGGUGACAGUGACUUUUAGUUCGUUUUUGAGGAGGAAAUAGAGGUUACACCUGCCGAAACACGCGAUGAAUUGUUUUCUUGUGCUCUAGAACCGGUAGUUUCAAAACUAUGGACUUGGAGAACCCUAAAAACUCAUAUCAGUGGAAAAAAGUGUCCUAGACUAUCAGUGUCUUUAACAGCUUUAACUUCAGGGACUUAUUUCAUCCAGGAAACUGUCCUAGAACUAUAGAAUCUGAUAUUUACUGUCAAAAUCAACUCCAGCACUUUCAAAUUCAAUUUGCACCAAGUUGUUAUAACGGAAAACACCUGUUGAUCUGUAGUUUCAAACCUAAUAACAACUUGACUAAUAAGAACGUGACUUGGAGAAUUCAAAAACUUUAAUUGUCGACUUUCAAGAACUGAAAUCAUCCAAUAAAGUGUUCAAAAACUAAAAAAAACCGUCGGAUUUAGUGUUAAAACCAACUCGAGCAUUUCUAAAGUCAAUUUUUAUAAAGUUUUUAUAUCAAAAAGGCCCAGUUUUGGAUAAUUUUUUGAAUAUUUGAUGAUAUAAGUCCACUCAAAACAAGGUAGCAAUUUUAUUGAGCCUCUAUCUAUAUUAAUAAUGGAUUAAGACUGAAAAUAGUAAAAAACAAAGACUCUAACACUACCUGCGACAAUCAACAAGAAUCCUGAUCAAAAUUAUUCUAAAAUAACAUUAAGGAGUGUGGUAUUAUUAAGUGUUGCUCGGGUGUUUUUUGUAAAAAGAACUUACGGACUGGACUGUGUUGUGUUUAAAAGUGUUAGUGUUCGAAGGGGGUCAAUUUUUGGAGAAAAAUUAAGUGCCUUCGCUUGGGGAGAAUAUACUAUAAGGUCGUUCAUGUUGGUCAUUCAAGAGCAAGGACGUUUUUUUGUUUCAUUUUUUCUGUUACCACACCACCGUUUUCAAUUGCACCGCCCUGAAGACCAUCUUCUGUCAGAUUCCGUCACCAGCACGUAUGGCAAGUGGUUCUGAGACCCCUUGUCAAUCGAUAGCCUGUCAAAAUGUUAACACUAGCGAUGCGCCAUUCCCAACACAGUGAUCCGACUCGAGUGCCACCUACCAGCAGCAACGGCGAUGAGUUCGUUGACAUUUUACAGGUUCAACAACUUCUUCUCGACAGCAAUCGCUCGCGGGACUCUUCUGGACACCACGGAUUGCCCACGCAAGCGGGAGUCCCACCGCGGCUCAUGAUGGACCCCCUGGCCACGGCCACCCCUUCGUACUACUAUGGGAACUCAUCCUACCAUCAGACACCACCAGGAUCUGCGGGCACCAGCAUGGACGACUUGGUGUCUAUGUGGUUUGGUGGGGGAACUACAACU